ACCAACCACAACCACAGUGAAAGCAAGCACAACUUGCACAAGCACAUCAAAACCAACCACUACACCAGUGAAAGGAGCAGCCAGCAGCAGCCCAGCAGCAAGGCCCUCAACAUCAACACCAACCACACACACACUGAACGAAACACAGAGCUGGCCAGAGAUGUACUUUAUUAACCACAACAACAUGUCUGCAGGGGCAUGAGUCAGGCUGGAUACACACUCUGCAUCAAGUGAUGGCUGAGUUGAUAAGUGUUUUGAUAUAGUUAAGAGGUUUUGAGUUAUCAUAGUUAAGCCAGAGACAAAACCAAAUUCAUUAACAUGUGACACUACGGACCUGGGUAUGUGUUCUAACAAUCUCUCACUGCAUCACCAACAAAAGUUUUCCCACAUUCUUCUGCAUGCAAAAAUACUUUCCCUUGCACAAAACCAAAUUGAAUUUCUGUCCGUGUGUGACCUGACUUAGAGCCACUCACCACAGGAAAGCAUAUGAGCAAGUGUUGCAACAGAAUCUGCAUAAUUUCUAAAUGAGAGUUAACUAUAUAAAUCUCUAUUGAGUCACUUUAGCAGAUGCUUUAGUCAAGGUGUAUAAACAGUGAGUUCAGACACAUGUCAUUAAGGAGCAGGUAGGGGUUAGGGGCAGCUCGCUCAAGGACUCCAUGACAGUCAGGCUGUGGAGUGUGGACAUUGGGGUUGGAACCCUGAUGUAAAUUAUUUUAGUCUAUGUUAUUUCUGAUGACAUAUGUCAAGCUAACAACAGUUAUGAAUGGUUUCUUCACCACAUAAUGGACAACACCAUAUAAGGUUUUAAUGAUUUUAUAGAUAAGUUAAAGACUACAAACAUG
ensembl:lncRNA